AGCAGUCGCCGCGGUAAUACGAAGGGUGCAAGCGUUACUCGGAAUUACUGGCGUAAAGCGUGCGUAGGUGGUGGUUUAAGUCCGUUGUGAAAGCCCUGGGCUCAACCUGGGAAUUGCAGUGGAUACUGGGUCACUAGAGUGUGGUAGAGGAUAGUGGAAUUUCCGGUGUAGCAGUGACAUGCGUAGAGAUCGGAAGGAACAUCUGUGGCGAAGGCGACUAUCUGGGCCAACACUGACACUGAUGCACGAAAGCGUGGGGAGCAAACAGGAUUAGAUACCCGCGUAGUCCCUGUCUCUUAUACA
rnacentral:rRNA from 1 species